rnacentral:rRNA from 1 species
AACGAACGCUGGCGGCAUGCCUAACACAUGCAAGUCGAACGAGACCUUCGGGUCUAGUGGCGCACGGGUGCGUAACGCGUGGGAACCUGCCCUUAGGUUCGGAAUAACUCCCCGAAAGGGGUGCUAAUACCGGAUAAUGUCUUCGGACCAAAGAUUUAUCGCCUUUGGAUGGGCCCGCGUUGGAUUAGCUAGUUGGUGGGGUAAAAGCCUACCAAGGCGACGAUCCAUAGCUGGUCUGAGAGGAUGAUCAGCCACACUGGGACUGAGACACGGCCCAGACUCCUACGGGAGGCAGCAGUGGGGAAUAUUGGACAAUGGGCGAAAGCCUGAUCCAGCAAGGCCGCGUGAGUGAUGAAGGCCUUAGGGUUGUAAAGCUCUUUUACCCGGGAUGAUAAUGACAGUACCGGGAGAAUAAGCUCCGGCUAACUCCGU